rnacentral:lncRNA from 1 species
AUGAGUAUAAAUACUGGUUUAUCUAAAUAUAAUCAAAUAUAUAAUACUAUAACAAAUUAUAAUAAUAUUAGUAGCAAUUUACAAUCUAGUAACAUAUAUAUGAAAAAUAAAAACUAUAACAAUAUAAAAAAUAAUAUUACAACCUCUCCAAAUGUUGAUAAUAUUAAUUUAUUGUUAACAAAUAAGGUACAGUUAAAUGAAAAUAAAAGAAUAAGUGAAUUAUUGAAAUCAAAUGAAUUACAAAAUGUUAUGACAGAUCAACUUGGGAAAAACAGAAUGUAUGAUCAUGAAUAUUAUUUGGAAAAAAAUGUAAAUGUGGUUAAUCUAUUUGGUCAAGGUCAAAGUCAAAGUCAAGGUCAAGGUCAAGGUCAAGGUCAAAGUCAAGAUCAAGGUCAAAGUCAAGGUCAAGGUCAAAGUCAAGGUCAAGGUGGAAGUAUACGAAGUGGUGAUAUAUGUACCGGUAGACGUAACAAUGAAACAACUAGCAAUAUAGAUAUUUUUGAUUUACAACUUGAUGAUAGUUUUGGAAAAAAUAUACAACAUAAACAGCACAUGUACAGCGAAAGUACAGAACAAACAUAUGAAGACGAAAAUGAGACAAACAUAAGUAGAAGUUUGAAUGACAUAUUGAAUUUUAAUACGUUUUCUGAUUUAUCCCUUAAUAAAGAAGAAAGUGAUAUAUUAAAUAAAAAAAAAAUAAAUAAUAUUAUAACUGACGAUUUUAAACUGGGUGAUACUUUAAGCUAUAAGAAUGUGCACAGCAUUAAUUAUAAUAAAUUACAAAGUCAACACAACACAAAUGAUUACAAACCUACAUUUAAUGAAAUAGAUAUAAGUACAAAUCAUUUGAAUAUGAAAAACAAAAGUUAUAUAACUAAUAAAAUUGGUUCUUAUGGCGAAGUUAUAGGUGAAAGUACGCGUUCAAAUGUUUUACCAAAAGUGGUACCAAAAUUGCUACAAAAAGUGCAACCAAAUGUGCUACCAAAAGUGGUACCAACUUUACUACAAAAUGCAAGUUUCAACUUAAAAACGGUAGAAGAAAAAACAAAACAAAAUGAUGUAGACCUAACAAAUAUUAAUCAAACCAGUGUAGACAUAGAUAAAAUGAAUCUAAGUAAUAUAUACAUAAGUAACGCAAAUAUAAACAAUCUGAACAAAAACUUUGUUAGUGGAACUAACAGUUCUAAUUCUGUAGUUUAUUCAAAUAAAGGUAUAAAUGAUAGUAUGAAUAAUGUAAAUGCUGAUGUUGAUACGAGUGUUGCUAUGGGUACUACUACAAGUAGCAACAGUGACAGACUGAAUCGGUUUAAUUAUCUUAAUUUUUUAAAAAGUAGUUUUAAUACGAGUGAGAAUAAACAAACAAACAAUUCAACUGGAUCGAAUAUAAUUAAUACAACAGUAGGAACAACAGGGUUU